CUGCUCUCUAGUCUCUUAAGGUGACAGAGGGAGAGAUGAAGAAAAUCACUUUAAUGUUCCUCUAUAAAAUGGGGCUAAUAGUUUUUAAAAUCCCUGUCUCACAGGUCUAUUGGGAAGAAAAUACUUUAUGAGGAAACUGAGACCCAAGCUGAAUAAAUAGUCUAAGGCCAACAGCUUCCAAGCACCCAGGAUAAGCAUCUGCAAGAAGACCACCAUGGAAAAAAAUUCUGCAGCUUAUGUUCCAACAUCUGUCGCAGAAAAUGAGGAAGUUGAGAUAAUUUUGUGAAGAACCCAGUAAGAUGCUCCAAAUUAAAUUAACAUACACUU
rnacentral:lncRNA from 1 species